UACGUAGGGUGCAAGCGUUGUCCGGAAUUAUUGGGCGUAAAGAGCUCGUAGGCGGUUUGUUGCGUCGGCUGUGAAAUCCCGAGGCUCAACCUCGGGUCUGCAGUCGAUACGAGCAAACUAGAGUGUUGCAGGGGAGACUGGAAUUCCUGGUGUAGCGGUGAAAUGCGCAGAUAUCAGGAGGAACACCGGUGGCGAAGGCGGGUCUCUGGGCAACAACUGACGCUGGAGGAAGCGAAAAGCGUGGGGAGCGAACAGG
rnacentral:rRNA from 1 species